rnacentral:rRNA from 1 species
UACGUAGGGGCCAAGCGUUGUCCGGAUUUAUUGGGCGUAAAGAGCUCGUAGGCGGUUCGGCAAGUCAGCUGUGAAAUCUCCACGCUCAACGUGGAGGGGUCAGCUGAUACUGCUGUGACGUUGAGUCCGGUAGGGGAGUGUGGAAUUCCCGGUGUAGAGGUGAAAUUCGUAGAUAUCGGGGAGGAACACCAGGUGGCGAAGGC